ACGAACGCUGGCGGCGUGCCUAAUACAUGCAAGUUGAGCGCUGAAGGUUGGUACUUGUACCGACUGGAUGAGCAGCGAACGGGUGAGUAACGCAUGGGGAAUCUGCCUUUGAGCGGGGGACAACAUUUGGAAACGAAUGCUAAUACCGCAUAAAAACUUUAAACACAAGUUUUAAGUUUGAAAGAUGCAAUUGCAUCACUCAAAGAUGAUCCCGCCUUGUAUUAGCUAGUUGGUGAGAUAAAGGCUCACCAAGGCGAUGAUACAUAGCCGACCUGAGAGAGUGAUAGGCCAAAGUAGGACAGGAAAAGGGCCCAAACUCAUACGGGAGGCAGCAGUAGGGAAUCUUCGGCAAUAGAGGAAAGUCUGACCGAGCAAAGCAACAUGAGUGAAGAAGGUUUACGGAUCGUAAAACUAUGUUGGUAGAGAAGAACGGUGGGGAGAGUAGAAAGCUCAACAAGUAACGGUAAAUACCCAGAAAGAGACGGCUAGCUAAGUG
rnacentral:rRNA from 1 species